rnacentral:rRNA from 1 species
GAGUUAGACCUGCCCAGUGAUCUAUUUUUCAACGGCCGCAGAAUUUUAACUGUGCUAAGGUAGCAUAAUUCAUUUGUCUCCUAAUUAGAGACUAAGCAUUGAUACGGCUUAAAACGAAGUUUACCUGUAUCUUUUUUAUUAAAUGUAAUUUAAUCUUAAAGUCAAAAAGCUUUAAUAUCAUAAAAAGACAAAAAGACCCCAUAGAGUUUAAUUUUAAUCAAUUUUAAUAAUAAAACUAUAAAAUUUAGUUGGGGCAACUAAGAAAAUAAUUUUUC